GGUUAUGUAGUUUAACUGGAUAAAAUACCUCCCUGUCACGGAGGAAGAUGAGGGUUCGAUUCCCUUCGUAACCGCCA
rnacentral:tRNA from 4 species